UUGAACGCUGGCGGCAGGCCUAACACAUGCCAGUCGAGCGGAUGAAGGGAGCUUGCUCCUGGAUUCAGCGGCGGACGGGUGAGUAAUGCCUAGGAAUCUGCCUGGUAGUGGGGGAUAACGUCCGGAAACGGGCGCUAAUACCGCAUACGUCCUGAGGGAGAAAGUGGGGGAUCUUCGGACCUCACGCUAUCAGAUGAGCCUAGGUCGGAUUAGCUAGUUGGUGGGGUAAAGGCCUACCAAGGCGACGAUCCGUAACUGGUCUGAGAGGAUGAUCAGUCACACUGGAACUGAGACACGGUCCAGACCCCUACGGGAGGCAGCAGUGGGGAAUAUUGGACAAUGGGCGAAAGCCUGAUCCAGCCAUGCCGCGUGUGUGAAGAAGGUCUUCGGAUUGUAAAGCACUUUAAGUUGGGAGGAAGGGCAGUAAGUUAAUACCUUGCUGUUUUGACGUUACCAACAGAAUAAGCACCGGCUAACUUCGUG
rnacentral:rRNA from 1 species